AGUGAACGCUGGCGGCGUGCCUAAUACAUGCAAGUCGAGCGGAGCGGCGGACGGGUGAGUAUUGCCUGGGAAUCUGCAUGGUCGUGGGGGAUAAGGUCCGGUAACGGGCGCUAAUACCGCAUACUAUCAGAUGAGCCUAGGUCGGAUUAGCUAGUUGGUGGGGUAAAGGCCUACCAAGGCGACGAUCCGUAACUGGUCUGAGAUGAGGAUCAGUCACACUGGAACUGAGACACGGUCCAGACUCCUACGGGAGGCAGCAGUGGGGAAUAUUGCACAAUGGGCGAAAGCCUGAUCCAGCCAUGCCGCGUGUGUGAAGAAGGUCUUCGGAUUGUAAAGCACUUUAAGUUGGGAGGCGUUACCAACAGAAUAAGCACCGGCUAACUUCGUGCCAGCAGCCGCGGUAAUAC
rnacentral:rRNA from 1 species